GGUGGUGUCAGCUGUGGCCAUGAGGCAGUCAGAGGAUGAGCAGAUCUGUUUUGAAGCGCUGGAGCCACUGUAUGUAGCUGGAACGGAGGACAUUGCUGGCAGGGGACAGGCAGAGACAUCCUCAGACAGCAGUGGCUAUAAUCCACAGAUCUGUCCCACACUUCCCUUUUUACAACUCCGGAGAUGACAGUGGGAUGCCAGACGUCAAGGCCC